GAUGAACGCUAGCGGCAGGCUUAACACAUGCAAGUCGAGGGGCAGCGCGGGAUAGCAAUAUCCUGGCGGCGACCGGCGGAAGGGUGCGUAACGCGUGAGCGACAUGCCCGUUGCCCGGGGACAACCGGUGGAAACGCCGACUAAUCCCCGAUGGGAUAUUGUGCCGCAUGGCACGAUAUUGAAAGUUACGGCGGCGACGGAUUGGCUCGCGUCCGAUUAGCUGGUUGGCGGGGUAACGGCCCACCAAGGCUGCGAUCGGUAGGGGUUCUGAGAGGAAGGCCCCCCCCAAGGGGACUGAGACACGGCCCAUACUCCUACGGGAGGCAGCAGUGAGGAAUAUUGGUCAAUGGGCGGAAGCCUGAACCAGCCAUGCCGCGUGCGGGAAGGAGGCCCUAUGGGCUGUGAACCGCUUUUGCCUGGGGGCAAUAAGGGCGUCGCGCACGUCCGAUGAGAGUACCAGGCGAAUAAGCAUCGGCUAACUCCGUG
rnacentral:rRNA from 1 species